rnacentral:rRNA from 1 species
UGCAGCAACGCCGCGUGAGGGACGACGGCCUUUCGGGUUGUAAACCUCUUUUAGCAGGGAAGAAGCGAAAGUGACGGUACCUGCAGAAAAAGCACCGGCUAACUACGUGCCAGCAGCCGCGGUAAUACGUAGGGUGCAAGCGUUGUCCGGAAUUAUUGGGCGUAAAGAGCUCGUAGGCGGUUUGUCGCGUCUGCUGUGAAAUCCCGAGGCUCAACCUCGGGUCUGCAGUGGGUACGGGCAGACUAGAGUGCGGUAGGGGAGAUUGGAAUUCCUGGUGUAGCGGUGGAAUGCGCAGAUAUCAGGAGGAACACCGAUGGCGAAGGCAGAUCUCUGGGCCGCUACUGACGCUGAGGAGCGAAAGGGUGGGGAGCAAACAGGCAUAGAUACCCUGGUAGUCCACCCCGUAAACGUUGGGCGCUAGAUGUGGGGACCAUUCCACGGUUUCCGUGUCGUAGCUAACGCAUUAAGCGCCCCGCCUGGGGAGUACGGCCGCAAGGCUAAAACUCAAAGGAAUUGACGGGGGCCCGCACAAGCGGCGGAGCAUGCGGAUUAAUUCGAUGCAACGCGAAGAACCUUACCAAGGCUUGACAUAUACGAGAACGGGCCAGAAAUGGUCAACUCUUUGGA